AAUCAACGCUGGCGGCGUGCCUAACACAUGCAAGUCGCACGAGAAAGGGACUUCGGUCCUGAGUACAGUGGCGCACGGGUGAGUAACACGUGAAUCAUCUACCUUCGAGUGGGGAAUAACUGAGAGAAAUCUUAGCUAAUACCGCAUAAUACCUACGGGUCAAAGCAACAAUGCGCUUGAAGAGGAGUUCGCGGCAGAUUAGUUAGUUGGCAGGGUAAUGGCCUACCAAGACGAUGAUCUGUAUCCGGCCUGAGAGGGCGCACGGACACACUGGGAACUGAAACACGGUCCAGACUCCUACGGGAGGCAGCAGUGGGGAAUUUUUGCGCAAUGGGGAAACCCUGACGCAGCAACGCCGCGUGGAGGAUGAAAUCCCUUGGGUGUAAACUCCUUUCGAUAGGGAAGAUAAUGACGGUACCUAUAGAAGAAGCCCCGG
rnacentral:rRNA from 1 species